UUUUUCUAGUUGUUUUAUUUCAUUUUGAACUACCCGUUCAUGUACAAUUAGAAUAAAAACACAAUUUUAUUUUUAAAAAUGUAUUUUGUUUGGCACAAAAUAACAACAAAAGUCAAAGGUUCCCAUGAAUGCAUGCACCAAAGAUGAUGACAGAAACAUGUAUAAAAACUGUGACGCAGACAGUGUGGAACAGGCCCAAACUGUUCAAAUCAGCUGCAUUCAGAUGCUGCCUCGGUUGGCUUGCUCCUUCAAACCUGGCUAAAAAAUUUUUUUGCAUCUUUUUUUUGUAGUCUACAGUGGGGUUUGGAUUAAAGGGCAGCAGACCUUGAGACGAUCCACCCAGCCAGACUGACAGGACCAGCUCAUCACAGCGGGUGCUGUCGCCCCAGGAGGGGAGGAAGCGAGCCGAAAUAGGAACCAUGCUGGCCCAGCUUGGACUUAAGGCUGCUCCUGGCUAAUGUCCGAUCUGGAAAUGAGAUUCAGGCUGGUCAAACAACUUGAAAUCAGAGACUGUUGUAUCCACAUCUUUACAGAGACCUGCUUCAUCAAGCGCUCGUCAGGCGGACUGUGUUCCGCGCAGACAGAACGCAGGACGAGAGGAGGCGGACUCUGUCCAUCGAUGAGGCUUGGUGCUCAAAUGCAGUCAAAGUGGAUGGACGCAGUUUCUUUUUCACUAUCUCACUAUCUUGUUGCUGCUGUUUACAUUCAACCAGAUGCAAAUUCCCUGGGUGUAUACUAUGAUCAGAUGGCAAAGUGGCCUGGCUUGGUCCAUGACUCCCAAGUCCUUCGGGCCUGUACAAUUACCCAGCGACUAUCUGAAGCCGAGUACAAGGCUGACCUGCUCGGACGUGUUUGGCGUGAACAGACCAUGCAGCAUGCCUGUUGGAAGCAUAAGGUUGGGAGACACGACUGA
rnacentral:lncRNA from 1 species